CACUCCUACGGGAGGCAGCAGUGGGGAAUUUUGGACAAUGGGCGAAAGCCUGAUCCAGCAAUGCCGCGUGAGUGAAGAAGGCCUUCGGGUUGUAAAGCUCUUUUGUCAGGGAAGAAACGGUGAAAGCUAAUAUCUUUUGCUAAUGACGGUACCUGAAGAAUAAGCACCGGCUAACUACGUGCCAGCAGCCGCGGUAAUACGUAGGGUGCAAGCGUUAAUCGGAAUUACUGGGCGUAAAGCGUGCGCAGGCGGUUUUGUAAGUCUGAUGUGAAAUCCCCGGGCUCAACCUGGGAAUUGCAUUGGAGACUGCAAGGCUAGAAUCUGGCAGAGGGGGGUAGAAUUCCACGUGUAGCAGUGAAAUGCGAAGAUAUGUGGAGGAACACCGAUGGCGAAGGCAGCCCCCUGGGUCAAGAUUGACGCUCAUGCACGAAAGCGUGGGGAGCAAACAGGAUUAGAUACCCCGGUAGUCCC
rnacentral:rRNA from 1 species